rnacentral:rRNA from 1 species
GACGAACGCUGGCGGCGUGCUUAACACGUGCAAGUCGAACGGAAAGGCCUGCUUUCCCUUGUGGAUUGCGGGUGCUCGAGUGGCGAACGGGUGAGUAACACGUGAGUGAUCUGCCCCCAACUUGGGUAUAAGCCUGGGAAACUGGGUCUAAUUCCCGAUAGGACUGCAGGGUGGUGCCUGUGGUGGAAAACGAUUUUCUAGUGGUUGGGGAUGAGCUCGCGGCCUAUCAGCUUGUUGGUGGGGUAAUGGCCUACCAAGGCGGCGACGGGUAGCCGGCCUGGGAGGGUGGGCGGCAAGGGGGGGUGAGAGAUGCGGCGCAGGCGGAGAGGGGAGGCAGCAGUGGGGAGGAUGGAACGGGGGGGGGAGGGAUGAUGCAGCGACGCGGGGGGGGGGAAGACGGUCGGGGGGUGGGGAACUGCGGUCGGCGGAGAGGGAGCCACCUGGUUGGAAGGGUGGUGAAGUAGGUGGGAGAAGAAGCACCGGCUAACUACGUG